AUGCUCACUGCAAAUAGAAGCACUGACAAAUACACAUUGCACUAAGAUUAAUACACUAGAAUUGAAAAAAAUCCCAACAUAGUUUGAAAUUCUAAUCGCUUUGCUAUUUCCAUAUGAAAGAAAUCUCUAUAACAUGUUUGCCCCUUAAACAUGGUGAGACCCAUUAUAAAAUUUUCCAUUUUCAUUAACAAUUAAGCGUUUCUGAAUCAAACACAGCCAACCCAUAUCAUAAUUCCAAGAGUUGUAUGCAAACUUUUGUUGUUAACAUCCUCAAAUACACCAACCAUAACAAUGAAUAAGCAAUAACUAGAGAGAAUAGAAGGCG
rnacentral:misc_RNA from 1 species